rnacentral:rRNA from 1 species
CCUACGGGUGGCAGCAGUGAGGAAUAUUGGUCAAUGGACGGAAGUCUGAACCAGCCAUGCCGCGUGCAGGAAGACGGCCCUAUGAGCUGUAAACUGUUUUUGUACAAGGGUAAACCUGAAUACGUGUAUUCAGCUGAAUGUACUGUACGAAUAAGGAUCGGAGAACUUCGCGCCAGCAGCCGAGGGACUACGGAGGAUGCAAGCGUUAUCUGGAUUUAUUGGGUUUAACGGGUGCGUAGGCGGAUUGAUAAGUUAGAGGUGAAAUGUCCGAGCUUAACUCGGGAACUGCCUUUAAUACUGUUGAUCUAGAGAGUAGAUGCGGUAGGCGGAAUGUAUGGUGUAGCAGUGAAAUGCUUAGAGAUCAUACAGAACACCGAUUGCGAAGGCAACUUACCAAUCUAUAUCUGACGUUGAGGCACGAAAGCGUGGGGAGCAAACAGGAUUAGAUACCCCAGUAGUC